GCUGGGCAUGGUAGAGCAUGCCUGUAAUCCCAGCUAUUCAGGAGACUGAGGCAGGAGGAUCAAAAAUUGGAGGCCAGCCUGGGCAAGUUGGUGAGACCCUGUCUAAA
rnacentral:sRNA from 1 species